rnacentral:rRNA from 1 species
GACGAACGCUGGCGGCGUGCCUAAUACAUGCAAGUAGAACGCUGAAGGAGGAGCUUGCUCUUCUGGAUGAGUUGCGAACGGGUGAGUAACGCGUAGGUAACCUGCCUGGUAGCGGGGGAUAACUAUUGGAAACGAUAGCUAAUACCGCAUAACAGUAGAUGUUGCAUGACAUUUACUUAAAAGGUGCAAUUGCAUCACUACCAGAUGGACCUGCGUUGUAUUAGCUAGUUGGUGGGGUAACGGCUCGCCAAGGCGACGAUACAUAGCCGACCUGAGAGGGUGAUCGGCCACACUGGGACUGAGACACGGCCCAGACUCCUACGGGAGGCAGCAGUAGGGAAUCUUCGGCAAUGGACGGAAGUCUGACCGAGCAACGCCGCGUGAGUGAAGAAGGUUUUCGGAUCGUAAAGCUCUGUUGUAAGAGAAGAACGAGUGUGAGAGUGGAAAGUUCACACUGUGACGGUAUCUUACCAGAAAGGGACGGCUAACUACGUG